UACGGAGGGGGCUUGCGUUAUUCGGAAUCACUGGGCGUAAAGCGUGCGUAGGCGGCUUAGCAAGUCAGAAGUGAAAGCCCAGGGCUUAACCCUGGAAUUGCUUUUGAAACUGCUAGGCUAGAAUAUCGGAGAGGUCAGGAGAAUUCCUAGUGUAGAGGUGAAAUUCGUAGAUAUUAGGAGGAAUACCAGUGGCGUAGGCGCCUGACUGGACGAUCAUUGAAGCUGAGGUACGAAAGUGUGGGGAGCAAACAGG
rnacentral:rRNA from 1 species